rnacentral:rRNA from 1 species
UGGGGAAUUUUGGACAAUGGGCGCAAGCCUGAUCCAGCCAUGCCGCGUGCGGGAAGAAGGCCUUCGGGUUGUAAACCGCUUUUGUCAGGGAAGAAAUCUUCUGAGUUAAUACCUCGGGAGGAUGACGGUACCUGAAGAAUAAGCACCGGCUAACUACGUGCCAGCAGCCGCGGUAAUACGUAGGGUGCAAGCGUUAAUCGGAAUUACUGGGCGUAAAGCGUGCGCAGGCGGUUUUGUAAGACAGAGGUGAAAUCCCCGGGCUCAACCUGGGAACUGCCUUUGUGACUGCAAGGCUUGAGUGCGGCAGAGGGGGAUGGAAUUCCGCGUGUAGCAGUGAAAUGCGUAGAUAUGCGGAGGAACACCGAUGGCGCGA